CAGUAUCAUGCGUGAAACUGACCAAUGAGCGUGUGUGUUUACUCUCUCUGAGCUAAGACGCGAGAUCGGCGCUGGGCGAGAGGAUCGCCGUGUGGAGACUCGAUCUGUGACUUCAGUGGCCUGUGGAAGCCUGACACCGGCGAGCGACAACUGCUACAAUCAUAUGAUGGAAAACUAGGACUGAACCUUUGAAAAAAUGCUUUUUAAAUACGCGGCAUUAUUGUUUUGAAUAAAUAUUUUUUCAUUAUUAUUAAAAUUAUUUAUUGUUAUGCAAGGAUAUAACAUACCAAAAAGAUGAUUGGGAACUUCAGCAUGAGCAGGAGAGGCGGGCUUCACACUAAAACCAACACUGACGGAUUACAGUAUACAGGUUUCUUCUGAUUUCCGCUUGAUUUUUGGAUUAUAUCGGCCAUAUUAUCCGGGAUGGAGGGUCGUGAUUUCUCCGCUCCAGCACACCUCCUUUCAGAGCGGGCCACGCUGGUGCAUCGCGCCGCCUCUCGCAUCUCCUCCGGCGGCCACGGCUCCGUGCAACACACGCCUCAUUUUCCAGCCGGGAAAUAUUAUACGUCUCACUUACCAAUGGCGGCGCAUUCAGUUUAACAACAUAGCGACUGCAAUUUGUGGUGCUGGAUCAUGGCUCUUUCCCUGAGAUGGUUUGAUCUGUAGAGUCUGCCAAGUCCUUAAAUGUAAUAACUUAUAUUUACAUUUAUUUAAUUCAUUUAAUAUAAACAAAUAAAUAAUACUUUACGUCUGUAAAUAACUUUUUAUAAUAAAGCGUUUGUCUAAUAUCUUGCAUCUCAUAAUGGCUUGAUUUUGCAUUAAACAUUUGGUGUCUAUUUCCGACCAGGGGGUUAGUGCCUUCCUUCCUGCAAGCCCCUCAACGCACCCCACAACACACACACCACCACUGCAGCUUUGUGUGUGUUUUACAGCAUGUUGCUCAAAGAUAAAAUCACACCAUCCUUCCCAUUUUAUUGCCUUGGAGUGGCAGAACGUCCCCUCAUUCUUACAUCUUGCCUGGAUAUCCCAGUGUCCUCUCUACAGGUUUACCUUGCUGACUGCUUCUUACCCUUGUGUUUUAUUUUCAAGAGGGGAAUAAAUAACUUUACUGCAGGAGUUUAUUGAAGAAAUCAUUGCGUGGAUAUCUCAGAAGGAGUCGUGAAGGCAGGCACAGGUGUUUAGUGGUGUUAUGAAAGUGUGUUUGGUGUUUAUGGCAGACCUGAUGAAGGGGUUUGUAGGGAGAUAUGAGGUUGGCUGGUUGUAAAGUCUCUCUCACUUCCCAUUUAUCUGAGAUCUGAAGUUUUAGGGCCCACAUCAAAGGCUCAGCUGAUAUUGACGGGCGUGUGUUUGUGUGUGUGUGUGUGUGUGUGUGUGGAAGCGUGUUAUGUUAUCUAUAGUUUACUUUGAGGGCAAAAUUAGUCCCCAGAAGUGAGCUAAAUCUGACAGAACCUGACUUCACACAUCCAGGCAUAUCUUCAUCUGGGAAAACCGGUUAGAAAUGAAAUAAAUAGUGUCUGUAACCUUUUCCUCUGUAUCUCCAUCUCUGUUUAAUAGAAAAUUGCAGGUUAUUUUACAUACUUAUCUUUACAUGGUUUGUUGCCUGAUGAAGUCAAAUUGACAUUUACCGCAAAAUCACACCCGACAACUUUAAACAACAUUAAAAAUUACC